CGUGUAGGCGGUCAGGUAAGUGGAAUGUGAAAUGCCCCGGCUCACCCGGGGACCGGCAUCCCAAACUGCCUGGCUUGAGUAUGGGAGAGGAUGGAGGAAUUCCUGGUGUAGCGGUGAAAUGCGUAGAUAUCAGGAGGAACACCGGUGGCGAAGGCGUCCAUCUGGCCCAAUACUGACGCUGAGGCGCGAAAGCUAAGGGAGCAAACG
rnacentral:rRNA from 1 species